AGCGAACGCUGGCGGCAGGCCUAACACAUGCAAGUCGAACGAACCCUUCGGGGUUAGUGGCGGACGGGUGAGUAACACGUGGGAACGUGCCUUUAGGUUCGGAAUAACUCAGGGAAACUUGUGCUAAUACCGAAUGUGCCCUUCGGGGGAAAGAUUUAUCGCCUUUAGAGCGGCCCGCGUCUGAUUAGCUAGUUGGUGAGGUAAUGGCUCACCAAGGCUACGAUCAGUAGUUGGUCUGAGAGGAUGACCAGCCACACUGGGACUGAGACACGGCCCAGACUCCUACGGGAGGCAGCAGUGGGGAAUCUUGCGCAAUGGGCGAAAGCCUGACGCAGCCAUGCCGCGUGAAUGAUGAAGGUCUUAGGAUUGUAAAAUUCUUUCACCGGGGACGAUAAUGACGGUACCCGGACAAGAAGCCCCGGCUAACUUCGUGCCAGCCGCCGCCGUAAGAC
rnacentral:rRNA from 1 species